UGGGAAGAAGGAGCACGCCUGGGCUGGGA
rnacentral:piRNA from 1 species